CACAUCCAAGAAGGGACAAAAGGGUCUAGCAAACCCAGAAGAUUUUGCUGAGGUCUGGUGGAUUUUUUGUUAUGCAUAUGGACAAACAGCCAAAAAGGCUAUAUCAACUAAAUAUGACUUCAUUUAGAAAGAAUUAUAAGAGUGACACCACCACUACCACCUGAAAACCACAUGCAUCUGGCAGGCUCCAAGGGCCGAUGAGGACUCCCCAAGUUAUCACCCUCUGGGAGCGACCAUCAAAGUAGGACCAGAACCACUACAAAGCUGUGCCACCCACCCAUAACUCAGCUGCAGCAGAUGGUCUAUGGUAUCAAAAGCCUCUGAGAAGUCAAAGAGAAUUAAGAAGGAUACCUUUUCCCUCCAAGAGUGUCUGGAUCUAGUAAGUGUGUUUAGAAUAGCAACCUGAAUGUUACCUCCCCACCCUAUGAUUUUGCAGUGCAGUGGCGUAGCGUGGGUUGUCAGCACCCGGGGCAAGGCAAGUAAUUUGUGCCCCCUAACCCGUGGAUUUGAGCCCCCUAACCCUAACCCCCAGAUGUUGCGCCCGGUGCGGCCGGCCCCCCCUGCACCCCCCAUGCUACGCCACUGUUGCAGUGCUUCCCCACAGGCAACCACACACACUCUGAAAUUUCUCUCUGAAUGAUUGCAACCAAUCAGGAUCAGGUACAAAUGCUGCUUACAUUACAGUGCUACAUAGCAAAUAAUUUUAGGCUAUGUGUUGAUACCACUAAGGGCAGCUUAAGGGCAUUUAUAGUGAAAACAUUGCUGGUCAGCAAUCACAAACCACUGAGAAUAAAGCAUUUCUACAAUCAUGAUACAAUGAUCCUCCUUUUUGACACAAAGCUCCUUUUCAGAUUAGCCCCAGUAUUGAGGACCAUUUUAAUUAUUUAGUCUUCAGACACUGAAAGCAAUGUUUAAAAACCAGGGAUAUUUCUGAAAAAUGUUUGUAGUACAGUAAUGAAGAUAGCAGCUUUGAAUGUAUAGAAUCUGCUUCUCUGGUGUAAGAAUGUUUGAAUCAGGAGUUAAAAAGCUGUUUGUCAAUAUCACUUCAUAGCUGAAGUUACCAGGUCAAUUGUGGUAGACCCAGAGGUGAUGGUGUUUUUGUCUAUUAAGUCAUAAAGGGGCCUGUCAGCAAUGCUUAUGUAUGGCAAAUCUUGUACAACUUUCAUUACCCAUGUGCCAUCUUGAGGUUGGUUAGGAAAUGCCCUUGGCAAGGUCAAUAUUGUAUCAGUUUCAGAAUUACAUAAUUCCCCUUGCGAAAGGAGCAUUCUUAUUAUUUAAUUAUUUACUAAAAUAUUCCCAUUCCAUCAUUCUGCUUUAUUUCUAAAGUGCCCAAAGUGGCUUACAUCAUGCAAAGUACAAAAAAACAGUCAUAAAUAAAGUUUUUUAAAAUCAGGACAAUAAAAGCAUAGAGAACGCCUCAGCAAAAAGCAAACAAAUAAGCCAAAGGGAUAAAGCAGCAUCAACCAGCUAAGCCAUAUGCACCUGGAAACAGAAUAAUAAAAUUGUAGAGUUCGAAGGGACCCCAAAGGUCAUCUACUCCAACGCCUUGCAAUGUAGUUGUUGUUGUUGUUGUUGUUGUUGUUUAGUCAUUUAGUCGUGUCCGACUCUUCGUGACCCCAUGGACCAGAGCACGCCAGGCACUCCUGUCUUCCACUGCCUCCUGCAGUUUGGUCAGACUCAUGUUUGUAGCUUCGAGAACACUGUCCAACCAUCUCGUCCUCUGUCGUCCCCUUCUCCUUGUGCCCUCCAUCUUUCCCAGCAUCAGGGUCUUUUCCAGGGAGUCUUCUCUUCUCAUGAGGUGGCCAAAGUAUUGGAGCCUCAGCUUCACAAUCUGUCCUUCCAGUGAGCACUCAGGGCUGAUUUCCUUAAGAAUGGAUGUGUUUGAUCUUCUUGCAGUCCAUGGGACUGCAAUGUAGUAGUCAAAGCCAAAUAAUCUCUGACAGACAUUCUAGCUUGUCAUUACCCUUCUCAAACUGUGGUAUCCAGAGCUGGACACAGUACUCCAGACAGGAUCUAACCAAGGCAAAAUAGAGUGAUACUAUUGAUCUAGAGUGAUACAUUUAUUCUAGACACUAUAUGUCUAAUGAUGCAGCCUAGAAUUGCAUUAGCUUUUUCCCACUGCACCACCCUGUUGAAUCGUGAUAACCUUGUGGUCUGCUAAGACCCCUAGAUCUUUUUCAUGUGUACUGCUGCCAAGCCAGGUGUCACCCAUCCUAUAUGUCUGCAUUUGAUUAUUCCUGCCUAAAUGUGUGUGAAUAUUCAUAUUCUUCAGCUAUACCGUGAGGUUCAUUUUACUACUGAACAGAAAAACCUUCUUACAGGCCAGUCUAAAGCAAUCCACCAUGUGCCUCCCUGCCUUCCCAUUCACUCUUUCUCUUCCUAGUCCUCUUCCUACCUUAACAUCCUUCACCAGCCGGAGAAGAUUAAGUUCCCUCUAGCUGGGAGCUUCAGACAAAAGUGGUGCAGCUUCUAACAUUUGGACAAUCAGCUGUUUGAGCACUAUUUUGGGCAUCAUCGUCUGGGAAGAGGUGGUAGUAGCAAGCAAGAUGCACAUGGCUGAUGGUUUCAGACAGUGUUCAGUUAGUUGUUGAGUCUAUAUAUUUUGUCCAUAUAUUCCCAGAACAGGGAAGGACCUGCAGUGAGCUCUUUCUUUUCCAUCUGCCUUCAUCCUGAGUUCCAUGAAGGCUUCUAAAUAACUAGCUUACGAAGCGGUAUGUGCAGAUAGCUAUUAACACACUACAUAAAAAAUGUAUGAACACAUUCUACUUUAUUGAAAUGCAGUAGAACAAAUGAAUCAAAUCAAAACUAUUAAAAGACUGCAGUACAGUUCAUAAAAUGUAGAAGCAGCUUGGGGGCAAAUAAACCACAAAUCUUUGUUCAAGUGGAACAAUGUCAGAUGUCAACUGCCUGAGAAACAUAUGCCAUUGGCUUUUCAUUUUACAUUAAUAACUGUUUGUAAAAACAACGACAAAUACAUAAACCCCCAAAACUCCUCUGCUUCAGAUUAAGGUGUUGGAGAUCUCUGUCUGUGAACACACCCAAAGAAGCAAUGACUCUCUGAUGCUGAGGAAGGAAGUCAAAUUGUGUUUGGCUAAUGAUAAAAGUGUAAAGGUGGAAUACUCAGCAAAUCACAAUCUACUGUUGGGGAGAGUUAUUCAUAAAGCAUAUGUUGCUGGCCAGUUGGUCAGCUGACAUAAUAUCCAAGUGAUCUUUUAACAAAUCACAAUACAAGCAUGGACAAAUUCAAUCCCCCACAAAAGUUGUAAGGGAAUCUUUAACAUCAGCAGGUGUUCAGAUUUUAAAUGAAGAAUUGUAACUGUUCAUUGCAAGUUUCACUGUGAUCUCUCAAUCUCAACAUCAGCUGCUAUACAGCAAAUGUGUGGUUUCCAGGUGGUCAUCCAUCAAGGCACUGACCAGGCACUGCUUAGCUUCAGAGGUGGUGGGUUCAUGUGACUUCUGCCCAUGCACUGGGACCAUAGAGAUUGCACAGUGAGAAAUUUUCUGUGAACAUGGUGGAAACUCUCCUUUGCUCAGUCUUUCUAAGCUUUAUCAGAUAAGUUGCACGGGGAGGGAAUCAAUUCUAUGGGGAAGUUGAUAUAUGAUUGGCUGAAUCUGACAGGGGCAUAUUCACUGUAAAAAGAGUCCCCAAGAUUGGAUUGAACCAGACUUACCAUUCCCAUGUUGCAAACCAUUUAUGGAAUGAAGACAGCCCCCUUCAGACCCAGCAGAGCAUGAAUCAGCUUGGUAACAUUGCUGGCAUGUGCGGCACCACUGAGGAUACAGACCCCUUUGCAAGUACUGCAGUAAAUAGGGAUGCCAGACAAUUCUGGUGCAAACUGAAAAGGAAGAAUAUAUUGCUGCAGUUCACAUGUUCAUCUAUGGUCAGGAACAGAACUCAGCCAAGCAAAUACAAUCAUUGUUGUGGUUUUUGAUUCCACAAAUAAUGGUUUCAACAUUUCAUUUACACUGAAAUGAGUUAAACAAAUAGCUAUGUAAGUUAUGCUAAAUAGUGAACAAGAUGAAUAAUGUAGUAUUUGGUGAAAAGCGAUUUUCAGUGGAACAAAAACAGCACUGAUUUUUAUUUGAAUGGAUCUCACAGCCUUGUUACAUCCCUUGCAAAUAAUGCCUGAAAGGCGUUAGCAUGCACUGAAUUUCUUUCUAAUAUGUCAGUGUUCAAGAGCAUAAUUACAGUGCAAACAAACCUGCAAAGAACUUGAGUGCCAAUCAAAAGCCUCACUAAGUUUGGAGAACAAUUUCUUAAAAUGCUCAAAAGGAAGCAAGGUGGUGGGGGAGACAUACAUUAAUCGUACCAUUUUUUGUUUUAUCUAUAAAAACAGAAGUGAGGCCUCUGUUAGAUCUCCCAGUUGCUAUUAUUCCUGCGCUAUUCACUCAACAUUGUGCUGCUGUACAUCACUGGGACUCAGAGCAAAUCCUGUGCAGUCAAGGAAAGCAAGCUGAUAAGGCCCUUUGCGGUCACAAUACUUGUAAAGAGCAGCACAGCAAUCAGCAGUGACAAAGUGCUAAUGAGGACUGGCAUUGCAAUUAGUGGCACAGAAGAUUUCCUCCCACCCUGUCCCAGUUUGGCAUUUGACUUUUCAUAGGUCUGAUCUGAAUCAAGCUGGUGCUAGAUUAUUCCACAGAAGUGAGCAUCUUUUGAACUUCUCUCUUCAAAGUCAUUAGUACUGAAAUCAACAUAAAUAGAAUAUGCUGCUUCAGACUUGACUACCAAGUGCUUCAAACUUGGACUGCCAAGCAUGACUACCCAAAGGAGCCACACAGUAGUACAUGGCGUAAAAUUAAUCAGCAAGGUUUCCUGCUGCCUCUUUGAUUCAGAGCGAGUAGCACCUCACCUAACCUGCGAAACAUAUGAUGCCA